UGCCAGCACGUAAUGGUGGGAACUCAAAGGAGACUGCCGGUGAUAAACCGGAGGAAGGUGGGGAUGACGUCAAGUCAUCAUGGCCCUUACGAGUAGGGCUACACACGUGCUACAAUGGCAGAUACAAAGAGAAGCGACCUCGCGAGAGCAAGCGGAACUCAUAAAGUCUGUCGUAGUCCGGAUUGGAGUCUGCAACUCGACUCCAUGAAGUCGGAAUCGCUAGUAAUCGUAGAUCAGAAUGCUACGGUGAAUACGUUCCCGGGCCUUGUACACACCGCCCGUCACACCAUGGGAGUGGGUUGCAAAAGAAGUAGGUAGCUUAACCUUCGGGAGGGCGCUUACCACUUUGUGAUCCAUGACUGGGGUGAAGUCGUAACAAGGUAACCGUAGGGGAACCUGCGGUUGGAUCACCUCCUUACCUUAAAGAA
rnacentral:rRNA from 1 species